rnacentral:sRNA from 1 species
GCCAGGCAUGGUGGCGCAUGCCUGUAAUCCCAGCUACUGGGGGGUUGAGGCAGGAGGAUUGCUUGAACCUGGGAGGUGGAGGAUGCAGUGAGCAGAGAUCGUGCCACUGCACUCCAGCCUAGGCAACAUAGCAAGACUCCAUCUCAA